CGGGCCAAAAACUUGAUAGAGUGCAUCAGAUAAAGGAGGAUAGGAUGCCCCAAGGACCCUUGAGAAACCAUAGUAGAGAGACUUCAAUUUCAUUCUGUAGACUGCUAAGUGAUAAGUACUGGAUUUAAUUCAUGGUAGAAAGAACAUAUUGAGCUGUAUUUCCAGGUAUUACCUUAUUACUGACUGCAACGUAUCGAAAUA
rnacentral:lncRNA from 1 species